rnacentral:rRNA from 1 species
CACGUAGGGUGCGAGCGUUUGUCCGGAAUUAUUGGGCGUAAAGAGCUCGUAGGCGGUGUGUCGCGUCGGCCGUGAAAACCUGCAGCUUAACUGUGGGCGUGCGGUCGAUACGGGCAUCACUGGAGUUCGGCAGGGGAGACUGGAAUUCCUGGUGUAGCGGUGAAAUGCGCAGAUAUCAGGAGGAACACCGGUGGCGAAGGCGGGUCUCUGGGCCGAUACUGACAGCUGAGGAGCGAAAGCGUGGGGGAGCGAACAGG